UACGGAGGGGGCUAGCGUUGUUCGGAAUGACUGGGCGUAAAGCGCGCGUAGGCGGGCUGGAAAGUCAGGGGUGAAAUCCCGGGGCUCAACCCCGGAAUGGCCUUUGAAACUCCCAGCCUUGAGUUCGAGAGAGGUGAGUGGAAUUCCGAGUGUAGAGGUGAAAUUCGUAGAUAUUCGGAGGAACACCAGUGGCGAAGGCGGCUCACUGGCUCGACACUGACGCUGAGGUGCGAAAGCGUGGGGAGCAAACAGG
rnacentral:rRNA from 1 species